UGUUGAUUAUUCUGUUAUUACUGAUACAGACUCGGAGCAGUACCGUGCCCGUGCGUAAGAGCAAGGGCAAUAAUAUAGCCUGCUGUUAACUCUAAAAAAAUUAAAAAAAUUAGACAUGUCAUAUCUAGUGUAGCUAAUAUGUACAUAAAUAUUUUAUUAUUGUAGUGGGACCCAUCAUUUUCUCCAACCUUUUGCUUUCUCCUUCCUUUCCCCUUCCUUGCCUGUCUUCACUUCUUUACAUGGCUGACUCCGGUAGAGUGAAGGUGAUGCUCGGCGGCGGUGUGGACGCAGGAAAUGGCGGCGGCCAUGCGGCGGAUGCGGUUGACACCGGCGGCCGUGCAUGACGAGGAAGCCCAUGCGCAGACACAAGAUAUGGCGGUGGUCGCCUGGUCGGGCCGGACGUCGGGCGUGCAGAUAACACGGGAGACAAGCGAGACGAAGGCGGCGGCCGCGUUGGCGGACGCAGAAGACGACGGCGGCCGAUUCGAGCGACGGUUGACGAGGAAGACGGAGACGGCCGAGGCGGACGACGGUGGCCGUGCGACGGACGCGGAAGACGGGGGCGGCCCAGCCGGACGACAGCAGUGGCUGAUUCGGGCGACGGCGGACGACGGUGGCCGUGCGGCGGACGCGGAAGACGGGUGCGGCCGAUUCAGGCGACGGCUAACGAGGAAGGCGGAGGCGGCCGAGGCAGACGACGGUGGCUGUGCAACGGACGCGGAAGCCGGUGGCCGUGUGGCGGACGCGGAAGACGGCGGCGGUCGAUCUGGACGACGGUGA
rnacentral:lncRNA from 1 species